CAGUAGCCGCGGAAAUACAGAGGGUGCGAGCGUUAAUCGGAUUUACUGGGCGUAAAGCGUGCGUAGGCGGCUUUUUAAGUCGGAUGUGAAAUCCCUGAGCUUAACUUAGGAAUUGCAUUCGAUACUGGGAAGCUAGAGUAUGGGAGAGGAUGGUAGAAUUCCAGGUGUAGCGGUGAAAUGCGUAGAGAUCUGGAGGAAUACCGAUGGCGAAGGCAGCCAUCUGGCCUAAUACUGACGCUGAGGUACGAAAGCAUGGGGAGCAAACAGGAUUAGAUACCCCAGUAGUCCCUGUCUCUUAUAC
rnacentral:rRNA from 1 species